rnacentral:rRNA from 1 species
GUGGGGAAUAUUGGACAAUGGGCGAAAGCCUGAUCCAGCCAUGCCGCGUGUGUGAAGAAGGUCUUCGGAUUGUAAAGCACUUUAAGUUGGGAGGAAGGGUAGUAACCUAAUACGUUGCUACUUUGACGUUACCGACAGAAUAAGCACCGGCUAACUUCGUGCCAGCAGCCGCGGUAAUACGAAGGAUGCAAGCGUUAAUCGGAAUUACUGGACGUAAAGCGCGCGUAGGUGGUUCAGUAAGUUGGAAGUGAAAUCCCCGGGCUCAACCUGGGAACUGCUUUCAAAACUGCUGAGCUAGAGUACGGUAGAGGGUGGUGGAAUUUCCUGUGUAGCGGUGAAAUGCGUAGAUAUAGGAAGGAACACCAGUGGCGAAGGCGACCACCUGGACUGAUACUGACACUGAGGUGCGAAAGCGUGGGGAGCAAACAGGAUUAGAUACCCUAGUAGUCC